AUUGAACGAUGGCGGCCGGCCUAACACAUGCAAGUCGAGCGGAGCGGCGGACGGGUGAGUAAUGCCUAGGAAUCUGCCUUGUAGUGGGGGAUAACGUCCGGAAACGGGCGCUAAUAACGCAUACAAUCAGAUGCGCAUCGGGUGGAUUAGCUGGUUGGUGGGGUAAAGGCCUACCAAGGAGACGGUCCGUAACUGGGCUGAGAGGAUGAUCAGUCACACUGGAACUUAUGCACUGUCCAGCCUCCUACGGGAGGCAGCAGUGGGGAAGAUUGGACAAUGGGCGAAAGCCUGAUCCAGCCAUGCCGCGUGUGUGAAGAAGGUCUUCGGAUUGUAAAGCACUUUAAGUUGGGAGGCGUUACCAACAGAAUAAGCACCGGCUAACUUCGUGCCAGCAGCCGCGGUAAUUC
rnacentral:rRNA from 1 species